GCAGCAGGCCGCCUUAUCGCCGUGCGUUUGACCUAGUGUUGCGCAAGGAGGAAAGUCUGGACACCAUAGGAUGGCAUAGCGGUUAACGACCGUCGUUGUGCUUUUGCAGGGCGCUCUUUGAUGAGUUAGCUUUCGCGAAAGCGUAAUAGGACAAGUGCAACAGAAAGAAUGUACAGGUAAUGCUGUAGUGAAAUCAGGUAAACUCUAUGUGGUGCAAUGCCCAGUAUAUCAAAGCUUGAGUGCGAUCCGCGCGAUUUUGAAGGGUAGGCAGAUAGAGGUCGUGAGUAAUCACGAUCCUAGAUAAAUGAUAAGGCGUUGCGCGCAUGUGCAACGACAGAAUCCAGCUUACAGGCCUGCUUUUUUA
rnacentral:RNase_P_RNA from 1 species